rnacentral:rRNA from 1 species
AACGAACGCUGGCGGCAGGCCUAACACAUGCAAGUCGAACGCCGUAGCAAUACGGAGUGGCAGACGGGUGAGUAACACGUGGGAACAUACCCUUCGGUUCGGAAUAACUCAGGGAAACUUGAGCUAAUACCGGAUACGUCCGCGAGGAGAAAGAUUCAUCGCCGGAGGAUUGGCCCGCGUCUGAUUAGCUUGUUGGUGAGGUAACGGCUCACCAAGGCGACGAUCAGUAGCUGGCUGAGAGGAUGAUCAGCCACAUUGGGACUGAGACACGGCCCAAACUACCUACGGGAGGGCAGCAGUGGGGGAAUAUUGGACAAUGGGCGCAAGCCUGAUCCAGCCAUGCCGCGUGAGUGAUGAAGG